rnacentral:rRNA from 1 species
UGAGGAAUAUUGGUCAAUGGGCGUAAGCCUGAACCAGCCAUCCCGCGUGAAGGAAGAAUGCGCUAUGCGUUGUAAACUUCUUUUCCAGAGGAAUAAAAUUUUGUACGAGUACGGAACUGAAGGUACUCUGGGAAUAAGCAUCGGCUAACUCCGUGCCAGCAGCCGCGGUAAUACGGAGGAUGCGAGCGUUAUCCGGAUUUAUUGGGUUUAAAGGGUGCGUAGGCGGAUUAAUAAGUCAGUGGUGAAAACCUGCAGCUUAACUGUAGACUUGCCAUUGAUACUGUUAGUCUUGAGUACGGUCAAGGUAGGCGGAAUGUGUAAUGUAGCGGUGAAAUGCUUAGAUAUUACACAGAACACCGAUUGCGAAGGCAGCUUACUGGGCCAUUACUGACGCUGAUGCACGAAAGCGUGGGGAGCGAACAGGAUUAGAUACCCUGGUAGUCCACGCCGUAAACGAUGAUCACUCGCUGUUGGCGAUACACAGUCAGCGGCUAAGCAAAAGCAUUAAGUGAUCCACCUGGGGAGUACGGCCGCAAGGCUG